GACGAACGCUGGCGGCGUGCCUAAUACAUGCAAGUAGAACGCUGAAGAGAGGAGCUUGCUCUUCUUGGAUGAGUUGCGAACGGGUGAGUAACGCGUAGGUAACCUGCCGUUGUAGCGGGGGAUAACUAUUGGAAACGAUAGCUAAUACCGCAUAACAAUGGAUGACACAUAGUCAUUUAUUUGAAAGGGGCAAUUGCUCCACUACAAGAUGGACCUGCGUUGUAUUAGCUAGUAGGUGAGGUAAUGGCUCGACCUAGGCACGAUACAUAGCCGACCUGAGAGGGUGAUCGGCCACACUGGGGGACUGAGACACGGCCCAGACUCCUACGGGAGCAGCAGUAGGG
rnacentral:rRNA from 1 species